UUAGGAAUAAGUUAGUUUUUAACAGAGUAUAAGAUAAGGUCUCGAAAAGGAGGGGGUAUGGCGGUUUUGAAUCUAUUUAGAGGGAUAUGUAACUUAACGAUAACACCCGAGAAUCUUACUUAAGUUAGAAUGUUUCAUUUUGUACACCGCCGUCUGAAAAAUUGGUCGAAUGACAAUGUUUAGAUCCAAAAAAUGGAAUACGACAGGUAAAGGUGCAGAUUAUACUUAAGGAAUUAUGUAUUUUGAUAAAAUGUUGAUGAAAUUUGAAUUGAAAAAAGAAUUAAAAUAAAUUUAAUAGUAAAAUGAUAAAAGAAUGAUCAUUUGAACAUGGCUAUUCAGAAUGUA
rnacentral:rRNA from 1 species